rnacentral:tRNA from 1 species
GCCCGCGUGGCACAAUUGGUCAGCGCGUGAGACUUUUAUGCAAGGUAUCUCAAGGUUGAGAGUUCGAGCCUCUCCGCGGGCG